UCGUCUCAAAAACGAAAAAAUCUACCAUUAGCAAGAAGGCAGCAUAAACGUCACGGACAAUUGAGCACAACGGUAAGGCAAAGCCGUCAAAGCAUGCGCCAUAUUUCACGCUAAAUUAUUUACAAAAAAAUUCAAGCGAAUUUAUUUUCCAGAGUAAAAACGAAUGACCAAUAAAGAAUGAAAAAAUACAAAAAAAAGAAAGGACAAAAAUAAAAAUUUCCCUAGGUAAAUGUUGCAGACAAGAGCAAAUAAGGCAUGAAAGAUGAAAAUUUAAAUCAAAAAAAGUUUUAUUGGACAAUAAAUGCCCAAACAAAGGAUGAAAGACAGACAAUUGAAAAGUUGCGUGGGUAUGACGAAAGGAAUACUGAAAUAUAAAGGAUUGAAGGCAAGAUUGUGUAGCAUUGGGUAUGCGUAUGUCUUUCUUUGGUACUAACGAAAAAUAUAAAUGAUGUGCCGUGAGCUCUGCUCUUACAAAAUAUUUCAAAGCUUUAUGAACAACAAAUUCUCUUUUUUUUCUUUGUCAUUUAACCUGCCAAACAGAAAGGGUUAAAUAAAAGAUA